AAAAAAGUUUUUAUUUAGAUUAAAAAAUUAAUUUCAAUUUUAAUUUUUUAUAUUUAGCUACUAUAUAAAAAAAAAGUCGUGAUUUGAUGGUUCAUUCGUGAGCUAAUUUAUCAUGCCAAAGCAAUUAAUUAAAAAAAAAUUGCAUUGACAAUGUUUACCUUUCAUUUUCUAAUUAAUUUCCCUUUUAUAUAUUACUUUAAAAAAUUUUAUUUUAUUUUUCAUAAAUUUAAAU
rnacentral:misc_RNA from 1 species